CCUUAACUAUUGUACAGUGGUUUGAAUGUUGGACUAUGACUCUGGAGACCAGGGUUCGAUUCCCUGCUUGGCCA